rnacentral:rRNA from 1 species
UACGUAGGGUGCAAGCGUUGUCCGGAAUUAUUGGGCGUAAAGAGCUCGUAGGCGGUUUGUCGCGUCUGCUGUGAAAACGCGAGGCUCAACCUCGCGCCUGCAGUGGGUACGGGCAGACUAGAGUGCGGUAGGGGAGAUUGGAAUUCCUGGUGUAGCGGUGGAAUGCGCAGAUAUCAGGAGGAACACCAGUGGCGAAGGCGAGUCCCUGGACAACACCUGACACUGAGGCACGAAAGCUAGGGGAGCAAACAGG